rnacentral:rRNA from 1 species
CAGUAGCCGCGGUAAUACGAAGGGUGCAAGCGUUAAUCGGAAUUACUGGGCGUAAAGCGUGCGUAGGCGGUUUGUUAAGUCUGCUGUGAAAUCCCCGGGCUCAACCUGGGAAUGGCAGUGGAUACUGGCAAGCUAGAGUGUGUCAGAGGAUGGUGGAAUUCCCGGUGUAGCGGUGAAAUGCGUAGAGAUCGGGAGGAGCAUCAGUGGCGAAGGCGGCCAUCUGGGACAACACUGACGCUGAGGCACGAAAGCGUGGGGAGCAAACAGGAUUAGAUACCCGAGUAGUCCCUGUCUCUUAUAC